GCUUGUCUCAAAGAUUAAGCCAUGCAUGUCUUAGUGUAAAUAACUCUUAUGAAACUGCGAAUGGCUCAUUAAAUCAGUUAUCGUUUAUUUGAUGGUCCCUUACUACAUGGAUAACCGUAGUAAUUCUAGAGCUAAUACGUGCGUAAAUCCCGACUCCUGGAAGGGACGUAUUUAUUAGAUUUAAGGCCAACCGAGCUUGCUCGUCUCUUGGUGAAUCAUGAUAACUUCACGAAUCGCAUGGCCUCGCGCCGGCGAUAUUUCAUUCAAAUUUCUGCCCUAUCAAUUGGCGAUGGUAGGAUAGAGGCCUACCAUGGUGUUAACGGGUGACGGGGGAUUAGGGUUCGAUUCCGGAGAGGCAGCCUGAGAAACGGCUACCACAUCCAAGGAAGGCAGCAGG
rnacentral:rRNA from 1 species